rnacentral:rRNA from 1 species
GAUGAACGCUGGCGGCGUGCCUAAUACGUGCAAGUCGAGCGAACGGACGAGAAGCUUGCUUCUCUGAUGUUAGCGGCGGACGGGUGAGUAACACGUGGAUAACCUACCUAUAAGACUGGGAUAACUUCGGGAAACCGGAGCUAAUACCGGAUAAUAUUUUGAACCGCAUGGUUCAAAAGUGAAAGACGGUCUUGCUGUCACUUAUAGAUGGAUCCGCGCUGCAUUAGCUAGUUGGUAAGGUAACGGCUUACCAAGGCAACGAUGCAUAGCCGACCUGAGAGGGUGGUCGGCCACACUGGAACUGAGACACGGUCCAGACUCCUACGGGAGGCAGCAGUAGGGAAUCUUCCGCGAUGGGCGAGAGCCUGACGGAGCAACGCCGCGUGAGUGAUGAAGGUCUUCGGAUCGUAAAACUCUGUUAGUAGGGAAGAACAUAUGUGUAAGUAACUGUGCACAUCUUGACGGUACCUAAUCAGAAAGCCACGGCUAACUUCGUG